rnacentral:rRNA from 1 species
UACGAAGGGGGCUAGCGUUGCUCGGAAUUACUGGGCGUAAAGGGCGCGUAGGCGGAUAGUUAAGUUGGGGGUGAAAGCCCGGGGCUCAACCUCGGAAUUGCCUUCAAUACUGGCUAUCUUGAGUACGGGAGAGGUGUGUGGAACUCCGAGUGUAGAGGUGAAAUUCGUAGAUAUUCGGAAGAACACCAGUGGCGAAGGCGACUAACUGGACAUGUAUUGACGCUGAGGUGCGAAAGCGUGGGGAGCAAACAGG